CCUACGGGAGGCAGCAGUGAGGAAUAUUGGUCAAUGGCCGGAAGGCUGAACCAGCCAUGCCGCGUGAAGGUCAGUGCCCUAUGGGCGUUAAACUUCUUUUGUGCGGGAGCAAUAAUGGUCACGUGUGGCCAGACGAGAGUACCGUACGAAUAAGCAUCGGCUAACUCCGUGCCAGCAGCCGCGGUAAUACGGGGGAUGCAAGCGUUAUCCGGAUGUAUUGGGUUUAAAGGGUGCGUAGGCUGUGCGGUAAGUCAGCGGUGAAAUGCCCCCGCUCAACGGGGUGAAGUGCCAUUGAUACUGCCUGGCUGGAAUGCGGAUGCCGUGGGAGGAAUGUGUGGUGUAGCGGUGAAAUGCAUAGAUAUCACACAGAACACCGAUUGCGAAGGCAUCUCACGAAUCCGCGAUUGACGCUGAUGCACGAAAGCGUGGGUAUCAAACAGGAUUAGAUACCCUGGUAGUC
rnacentral:rRNA from 1 species